AGGCAGAAGGUGACGAGGCUAUGGAAUCAGAGAUUGGAGUGAUGCAGCCACAGGUCAGGGAGAGCCAGCAGUCUCUAAAAGGCAGAACAGGCAAGGAAGAGAAGGAACCAGACCUGCCGAUGCCUUAACUUUAGCCCAGAGAAACUGAUUUGGGACUCCUGGCCUCCAGAAUGUGAGCCAAUAAAUGUGUGUUGUUUGAGGCCACUCAGUUAGUGGUAACGCGUUACAGCAGCCACAGGAAACAAAUACAGGAUGAUAUGUAAAUAUGAAUUCCUGCACAAAUGGAAGGAUUUGCAGUAAUGCAGCCAGAGCCAGGUGAGGCCCAACUCAGUGGGCGUGCCUAAGGAGCCAACAGGUGUCAGCCUGCAGUGUCUGUUUGCAUGAGCUUAUUUCUCGGGAGGGAAGAUGCCUCCAUGGAGGGCUGUGCGGCUGGAGCAAUGUCUGCUGCCUGACUCUGCCUGGUCACCCAGAUUUGAGCCCCAGUCCAGUGGGGAGAGGCUUCAGACAGAGCUGAAGGCACCAUUUUCCAAGGGACCCUGACAGCCUUAUGAGUGCAAGCUGUGCUGCUUUGAGGCCCAAUGACAAGGCAGGACACAGAAGGGAGUAGGGAGCAUUUGCUCCAUUUCUACAUGCAUGGCUGUAGCUCAGUAGACACAGCCCGAUGUGUUCUAGCAUCCAAAGGCUGCGUCUCAAGACCGCUGGCCAACCUCAACCUCAUCCUGGGCCACUGCUCAGGUUGCGGGGAGAAACACUGUUCUUGGGGCCUUACAGGCAGCAGGCAUCACUAAGAGAUUCAAGCCAAAGACACAAAAUUUCCUGGAAACUCCCCCAAAGAAAUAAGGCAGUGAGUUGUCGUUGGGGAUAAACAUAAGCCGUCGGCAUUGGGACUCACGCACGAUGGUGCCCAACCACCAAUGGGGCCUUGGGACCCUCAGGCCACUGCACGGCCUGUCGACACCUACCAAAGUUCCUCUCCAGGACAGCUGUUGCCUAGAGGAUCCCUGACCCGGUUCACAGUAGCCACUGGGCUCCCUGCACAGGGGUGGCCACACCAGACUUUUUGUAAUGUGGCUUAUUCUCUGGAACUCAGGGCGCUGGAGAGACUGGAGGUGGGAGAGGGAGAGGAAGCAAGCGGUGUUUUCCUUCGGGAUCUUUCUCUUCCGACCUUACCCUCCUCGACCAUGUUUUGCAGCAUCGUUGCAGACUGCAUCUUCCUGUCCUCACCACUGCCCUGCCUGUUCUCCCUUGUCAAGCUCUGCUUAAGGAUACUUCAGAAAGCUCCUCCUGGCCACCCAGUGUUUAGGAAAAUCUCACAAAAGGGUCUUAGCAUGGCUAUAAGUUUUCCUCUGAGCACUUUUCUCAGAACAAGAUGUGCUGAGUCAUUCUAGAACUUCAAAAUUGGUGGCAGCACGAGGGGUGGGCAAGAGAGGAGAGAGAGCUAGAGAACUUCUUUGUUUAUGCAACGUCAUCUCCUUCUGGAAAUCGAGAGCCAGUUCUCAAAAUCCCAGAUGUCCUUGAUCUCUGAGUCUCUCAAAGGCCUACAGAGGCAAUCCCUGUCCGUGGUGGGGACGAGUUUUAUCUUUUUCCCCCAAUCCAUCUCAGACGGACACUUUCAUAAAAUACAGUGAAAAAUAAGUGGCUAGAAAAACAAAGACUUACAAAUUACAACCUCACUGAUCACGCAUUCAUACGUCACAAGAUCAUCAAAAUGCUAUAUGCAUUUCUAGACGCUGACUCUCAGUUUCUGCACAUACCCCAUUGAGGGUGGAUAAUAAACACGUGUUGCAGCAGCACCUGUCCACGGAGACACACAGAGCACAUGCUACAGAUUAAUGGACUGUUUGCUUGUUUAGGGCAAGAAUCCUGAAAGUGUUCUUUAUUCUUUAGUGUGUGAAUCUACAGCCAAAGGCUUUCUCGGUAGACAAAGGGAAAAGAGAAGCAACUCUGAUGGUUACUCUUUGCCCUGGACUUGCUUUAGGGGAAAGGGAACAUUCUCCAACAAUUUGCAUUUCUAACAAGUGGAAGGUGAUGCUGAGGCUGCUGGUCCCUGGACCACACUUUGAGAACUACUCAUCUAGAGGCAGAUUGAUUAUGGAUCAUUUGUGUUGACACGUGUGAAUCCCAGUAUAUUGCCUCCCUUGGAGGAAGAGCCAAUAAUACUUUUCUUCCUCCCUCCAUCAUCUUACAUAUCUCCGGAAGUGGAGAUGUACUGACCGAGCCCAGAAGUAACAAGGAAGGCAAUUGGAAAAUGAGAUUGAAUAUGCAAAUGGAAAAUUUGUACAAGAAAAUGAAGAAAUCGACUCAGCACUCCUUCAGCUUGGACGGGCCGCUAGAACCCAGUUCUGCACAUGGUGGGUGCACACUACGUUUUACCCAGCAACGGACUCUGACAAGCCUGAAAAGUGACCUGCUCCUGCGUGAUGAGGCCAACUUAGACAACGACGUUUAAGCCCAUCUUAGACCUAAUCUUACCUUCAAAAUUUCCACUUCUUAUCACGUCAAACCCAUUAGAACUCAGCCCAUUCCAGCUCAAAGUGAAUCUGUUUUGCUAUAAAUUUCUAAAGGGCUUUUAUAAUUUGCCUUUUGAAAUUAUUUAGCUCUCAGAAAUAUUUAAUAUAUAAUUGGCUAUGCUUUCUUAGCAAUCACGUAUAUUUGAGAAUUUUUUGUGAAGUGAAAGAAAUCUAAUCUGUGUUAUUUUUAAAUGCCAAGAAAUUCAAACACUCAGUUUAACAGUGAAGGAAGCUGGCAAAACAUUACAUUAUGUGUGGAU
rnacentral:lncRNA from 1 species